rnacentral:rRNA from 1 species
AGAGUUUGAUCCCGGCUCAGAAUCAACGCUGGCGGCGCGCUUAACACAUGCAAGUCGAACGAGAAAGGGAGCAAUCCUGAGUAAAGUGGCGUACUGGUGAGUAACACGUGGAUAUCUACCUCUUGGUGGGGAAUAACCUGGGGAAACCUGGGCUAAUACCGCAUAAGUUCGUGAGAAGAAAGGCGCAAGUCGCCGAGAGAGGAGUCCGCGGUCGAUUAGGUAGUUGGCGGGGUAAGAGCCCACCAAGCCAAAGAUCGAUAGCCGGCCUGAGAGGGCACACGGCCACACUGGCACUGAAACACGGGCCAGACUCCUACGGGAGGCAGCAGUGGGGAAUCUUGCACAAUGGGGGAAACCCUGAUGCAGCGACGCCGCGUGAGCGAUGAAGCCCUUCGGGGUGUAAAGCUCUUUCGGCAGGAACGAUAAUGACGGUACCUGCAGAAGAAGCUGCGGCUAACUACGUGCCAGCAGCCGCGGUAAUACGUAGGCAGCAAGCGUUGUUCGGAAUUACUGGGCGUAAAGAGUGUGUAGGUGGUGUCGUAAGUUUGGUGUGAAAUCUCCCGGCUUAACUGGGAGGGUGCGCCGAAGACUGCGAUGCUGGAGUAUGGGAGAGGAAAGCGGAAUUCCUGGUGUAGCGGUGAAAUGCGUAGAUAUCAGGAGGAACACCUGCGGUGUAGACGGCUUUCUGGACCAUUACUGACACUGAGACACGAAAGCGUGGGUAGCAAACAGGAUUAGAUACCCUGGUAGUCCACGCCGUAAACGAUGAGUGCUAGCCGUCAGCAAGCUUGCUUGUUGGUGGCGCAGCUAACGCAUUAAGCACUCCGCCUGGGGAGUACGGUCGCAAGAUUAAAACUCAAAGGAAUUGACGGGGGCCCUCACAAGCGGUGGAGCAUGUGGUUUAAUUCGAAGCAACGCGAAGAACCUUACCAGCCCUUGACAUGCCGUGCUACUUCCAGAGAUGGAAGGUUCCCUUCGGGGACGCGGACACAGGUGCUGCAUGGCUGUCGUCAGCUCGUGUCGUGAGAUGUUGGGUUAAGUCCCGCAACGAGCGCAACCCUCGCCCUUAGUUGCCAUCAUUAAGUUGGGCACUCUAAGGGGACUGCCGGUGAUAAGCCGGAGGAAGGUGGGGAUGACGUCAAGUCCUCAUGGCCCUUACGGGCUGGGCUACACACGUGCUACAAUGGCGGCGACAAUGGGAUGCAAAGGCGCGAGCCCCAGCUAAUCUCAAAAAACCGUCUCAGUUCGGAUUGCACUCUGCAACUCGAGUGCAUGAAGUUGGAAUCGCUAGUAAUCGUGGAUCAGCACGCCACGGUGAAUACGUUCCCGGGCCUUGUACACACCGCCCGUCACACCAUGGGAGUUGGCUUUACCCGAAGGUGGUGCGCUAACCCGCAAGGGAGGCAGCCAACCACGGUAGGGUCAGCGACUGGGGUGAAGUCGUAACAAGGUA